AGCCCACCUGGGCAUCAGUCUGUACAGGGUGACUGAAAGCGGCUUGCGCCACCCGCAGCAGGAAGGGGAGGGGACGUUCCAACGCAGUGGUCUGGACCUGUUUCACCUGGAGACCGACAGCAAGCUGGGAGAGGUGUGGAAGACACGCCUCUGGCAAGACAACACAGGCACCACAGCCCACCUGGGCAUCAGUCUGUACAGGGUGACUGAAAGCGGCUUGCGCCACCCGCAGCAGGAAGGGGAGGGGACGUUCCAACGCAGUGGUCUGGACCUGUUUCACCUGGAGACCGACAGCAAGCUGGGAGAGGUGUGGAAGACACGCCUCUGGCAAGACAACACAGGCACCACAGCCCACCUGGGCAUCAGUCUGUACAGGGUGACUGAAAGCGGCUUGCGCCACCCGCAGCAGGAAGGGGAGGGGACGUUCCAACGCAGUGGUCUGGACCUGUUUCACCUGGAGACCGACAGCAAGCUGGGAGAGGUGUGAAAGACACGCCUCUGGCAAGACAACACAGGCACCACAGCCCACCUGGGCAUCAGUCUGUACAGGGUGACUGAAAGCGGCUUGCGCCACCCGCAGCAGGAAGGGGAGGGGACGUUCCAACGCAGUGGUCUGGACCUGUUUCACCUGGAGACCGACAGCAAGCUGGGAGAGGUGUGAAAGACACGCCUCUGGCAAGACAACACAGGCACCACAGCCCACCUGGGCAUCAGUCUGUACAGGGUGACUGAAAGCGGCUUGCGCCACCCGCAGCAGGAAGGGGAGGGGACGUUCCAACGCAGUGGUCUGGACCUGUUUCACCUGGAGACCGACAGCAAGCUGGGAGAGGUGUGGAAGACACGCCUCUGGCAAGACAACACAGGCACCACAGCCCACCUGGGCAUCAGUCUGUACAGGGUGACUGAAAGCGGCUUGCGCCACCCGCAGCAGGAAGGGGAGGGGACGUUCCAACGCAGUGGUCUGGACCUGUUUCACCUGGAGACCGACAGCAAGCUGGGAGAGGUGUGAAAGACACGCCUCUGGCAAGACAACACAGGCACCACAGCCCACCUGGGCAUCAGUCUGUACAGGGUGACUGAAAGCGGCUUGCGCCACCCGCAGCAGGAAGGGGAGGGGACGUUCCAACGCAGUGGUCUGGACCUGUUUCACCUGGAGACCGACAGCAAGCUGGGAGAGGUGUGAAAGACACGCCUCUGGCAAGACAACACAGGCACCACAGCCCACCUGGGCAUCAGUCUGUACAGGGUGACUGAAAGCGGCUUGCGCCACCCGCAGCAGGAAGGGGAGGGGACGUUCCAACGCAGUGGUCUGGACCUGUUUCACCUGGAGACCGACAGCAAGCUGGGAGAGGUGUGAAAGACACGCCUCUGGCAAGACAACACAGGCACCACAGCCCACCUGGGCAUCAGUCUGUACAGGGUGACUGAAAGCGGCUUGCGCCACCCGCAGCAGGAAGGGGAGGGGACGUUCCAACGCAGUGGUCUGGACCUGUUUCACAUGGAGACCGACAGCAAGCUGGGAGAGGUGUGGAAGACACGCCUCUGGCAAGACAACACAGCCCUCCCUCCACCAAUCCCUCCUUCCCUCGCAUUCGCAGCUUCUACUCCGAGUCUGCCUUUCUCCAGCCUCACCCACACCCACACCCACCCAGAGACACCCACCUUCCCGAGGCAACCAAGCCCAACCACAGGAGCUCUGGCCUGGGCUUGGGCACCAGGCCUUCCAGGUGUCCUGGAGCCAGGCA